CAGUCGCCGCGGGAACACGUAGGUGGCAAGCGUUGUCCGGAAUUAUUGGGCGUAAAGGGCUCGCAGGCGGUUUCUUAAGUCUGAUGUGAAAGCCCCCGGCUCAACCGGGGAGGGUCAUUGGAAACUGGGAAACUUGAGUGCAGAAGAGGAGAGUGGAAUUCCACGUGUAGCGGUGAAAUGCGUAGAGAUGUGGAGGAACACCAGUGGCGAAGGCGACUCUCUGGUCUGUAACUGACGCUGAGGAGCGAAAGCGUGGGGAGCGAACAGGAUUAGAUACCCCCGUAGUCCCUGUCUCUUAUAC
rnacentral:rRNA from 1 species